UCUGGUGGCCAUAGGCGCCGCGAUACACCCGAUCCCAUCCCGAACUCGGCCGUUAAGCGCGUCGCCGCUGAUGGUACUGCGUCCCAAGACGCGGGAGAGUAAGUCACCGCCAGAC
rnacentral:rRNA from 1 species